AGGGAGCCUGAAAAACGGCUACCACAUCCAAGGAAG
rnacentral:rRNA from 1 species